UGUUUUGGCAUUUUCCUCCACUUUUUGGUUUGGUGCCUUACUUCUGCGCAUCCUAAUAAGGCAGUGGUAAGAGCCGAAGAAGUGUGAGUGAGUGAUUUGUUCUUCUUUGUCCUCUGCUCUUAUUCUCUCUCUGUCUCACCACACUUUCAUCUUCGACUCCGAUGGCGAGCCUGUGGCGCGCGGCGACCGGCAUGUCGGACAAUUCCACCGACUACGACGGCGUCGAGUUCUGGUCCAACCCCGAGCGAACCGGCUGGCUAACCAAGCAGGGCGAGUACAUCAAGACUUGGCGCCGCCGUUGGUUCGUCCUGAAGCAGGGCAAACUCUUCUGGUUCAAGGAUUCCGCCGUCACACGCGCAUCUCGGCCACGCGGCGUCGUCCCCGUUGCCACGUGUCUCACUGUCAAAGGCGCCGAAGACAUCCUCAACAAGCCCAACGCCUUCGAGCUUUCCACGCGCUCCGACACCAUGUACUUCAUCGCUGAUUCCGAGAAGGAGAAGGAAGACUGGAUCAACUCCAUCGGUCGCUCCAUCGUCCAGCACUCCAGAUCCGUCACCGAUUCCGAGAUCGUCGAUUAUGAUAGCAACUCUGCCAAGCGCUGACCACGCUCUCUGCAAUUCACUUGCCUCUUUCGGAACUGAGUAAAUAAUUAAAGAUCCAAAGUAUUGCUUCGAGACAGUAGCAUAACAGAAGAACCCCAAUUGCUACUCCAGUAAUUAUUGCAGUGCUUGAUGAAUUACUUGACUGCUUUGGGUACUUUAUUAUGAGAAAGAAGAUUGACAAAUUAGUACUAGUAUUUCUGUCUCUAGAUAAUGGGCCAAAAAGUCAUCAUCCGAAAAUAUAAUAUUUAAUUAUUAAAAGAGAAAAAAAUGAUCUCUGAAUCUCUGAAAGAAAUAGAGAAGCUGACAAACAAACAACCGGAGAAGAUAUAUUGAUAUGAAUGGCAUCUAGCAUACCCGCCAUUAGCAAUUUCAUCAGUGCUGUUUUAAGUGUGUAUGUCACAAAUCGUUGUGGCUGGAGAACUGUUAUAACCUUGGAUAAGUUAGGUUGUUUUCUUCUAAGUUGUACAUCUAUGAUUUAUUCUAUCCUCAAGUAUUUUAUGCAUCA